GAUGAACGCUGGCGGCGUGCCUAAUACAUGCAAGUCGAGCGAACAGACGAGGCGCUUGCUCCUCUGACGUUAGCGGCGGACGGGUGGGUAACACGUGGAUAACCUACCUAUAAGACUGGGAUAACUUCGGGAAACCGGAGCUAAUACCGGAUAAUAUAUUGAACCGCAUGGUUCAAUAGUGAAAGACGGUUUUGCUGUCACUUAUAGAUGGAUCCGCGCCGCAUUAGCUAGUUGGUAAGGUAACGGCUUACCAAGGCAACGAUGCGUAGCCGACCUGAGAGGGUGAUCGGCCACACUGGAACUGAGACACGGUCCAGACUCCUACGGGAGGCAGCAGUAGGGAAUCUUCCGCAAUGGGCGAAAGCCUGACGGAGCAACGCCGCGUGAGUGAUGAAGGUCUUCGGAUCGUAAAACUCUGUUAUUAGGGAAGAACAAAUGUGUAAGUAACUAUGCACGUCUUGACGGUACCUACUCAGAAAGCCACGGCUAACUACGUG
rnacentral:rRNA from 1 species